UACGGGGGGGGCAAGCGUUGUUCGGAAUUACUGGGCGUAAAGGGCUCGUAGGCGGCCAACUAAGUCGGAUGUGAAAUCCCCAGGCUCAACCUGGGAACUGCAUCCGAUACUGGAUGGCUUGAAUCCGGGAGAGGGAUGUGGAAUUCCAGGUGUAGCGGUGAAAUGCGUAGAUAUCUGGAGGAACACCGGUGGCGAAGGCGGCCUGCUGGGAUCUUGCUGACGCUGAGGCGCGACAGCGUGGGGAGCAAACAGG
rnacentral:rRNA from 1 species